rnacentral:lncRNA from 1 species
CUCCUCUCACAGUCAUGGACUGGAGGGUCUGUGUGGGACUCUGUUUCCAGCCCAGUGAAUGUGGACAGAGGAGCCGUCCCCCGAGAGACUCCGGACGGUGUUUGGGCAGGAAAGAGCUGCAUUGUCCUUAUGUGACAGCCGGCGCCAGAGAACCCGUCUGUAUAGUCAGCGUGACUUGCUAUGAAUCUCUGUUAUUUCAAAAUACAAAGACAGAAAAAACAGGUGGGUCUGGGGAGGCUGGACCAGGGAAUGGGCCCAGGCCAGAGCUCCGUUAGGUACAGCGUGGGGAUGAAGUAGCCUCUGCACCCUCUGCUGCCCAGGCCCUGUCCCACGGGGGCGCCCAAGGGGACGCUGGUCAGCCCGGUGCAGGUCUCAGAGCCCUGGGGAGGAGACAGCCAGGCCCUCAGUGGCUCCCAGCCAGGCCGCCCACUCUCAGGUAGGCAGAGCCAGGAUGGGUGUGGGAAGCCGCCCAGGGCAGGGGCCAAAGUCUCUUCCGGCCCCGGCCCCGCCUGGACACGCGAGCUGGGCUUUGUCGCAGCAGCACUCCCUGGCCGGCUCUGUCACACUGGCCGGGGGGAGGGCAGCAGAGCCAGCAGAGCUGUCCUGGGUGUCACUUUGUCAUUGGCGGAGGAGGAGAAGGAGGGCAGCAGGCUGGCAAGGCGGCUGGGGGCCAGUUUCCAGCUCAUCCAUCAGUGGGGCCAGGCUGCCACGUUUAUCCCGAGUGGAACGACAGAGGAGGAAGUCCCCGCUCUGGCCUCCAGGCACAGCGUUCCUUCAGGAGGCCACACUACUGGGACCACUCUGCACGCCUUCCCUCCGAGUGCUCAGCGGCCCACAUCAGAGAUGGCUCUGGCUUUCCCGUUUCUAG